AUCGCAAAGCAUGCCGGGACAUAAUUCUAGUACAUUUUUACCUUCGCCGUGAUCAGCUGUCCCGUUGCAAACAACGGGAUUCUUAUCGAAGCAACAUCUUAAUCUUGUACAAAAUCCGCUAUUAUGCAGUGAUUUUCUUUCACUCCAGUAUCAUUUGUACGUUGCAGCAUCAUCAAACACUAUGGCCGAUGAAUCAGAAGAUGACGUAGAUGCUACGAGAGAGCUCAUUUCACAAUGGACAACAGAAGUGAUACGUGACUUUCUACAAGGAGGGGACUCAAGCUUGGAAAUUGAGGAGUCAUUAUUUUAUGGGUGUUCUCUGCCCUGACGCUGGGGGUACUGUUCAGCCAUCCGAGGUAGAGAGGUAGAGAGGAACUGGACGAUGGAUGGAUGGGGGGGGGGGGGGGGGGGGG